CACCCCGAUACCUGUAGUGAAAAUUCAAGUUCAGAAACCACUGAAGAUAUUGCAUCUGAAAUUGAAGUUGAAGUAGCAUCAGGACACAUGUCGACUUCUUCACAGUUGGAGGGUUCAACGUCAGAAAAACCUGUAGCGGAACCGUUGUGCAUCAUUUCAGCAACAGAAAAUGAGCCACCUAUACAAGUCAUUGAUCAUAAACAAAAGGCAUUUCCUCUAUUUUUCUUGUAUUCAUUCUGACACUUUUCCAAUGCAGGAAUUGUAUUAUAUAUACUACAAACUGAAACAUCCUUUAAGUUUAAGCAGGGUGUCGAGAUAACUGUUGAAGAAGUAACUGCAUUAACUAAUACCAAGACAUUAAAAUCCUCGACUUAUUCAAAAUCACUCGGUUCAUCUUCCCAGGAUCAAAGCAUUCAAGAGGGUUCUACGUCAGGAACAAAGAAUGACCAAGAUAUUCAAUUAGUUGAUCUUAAACAAAAG